rnacentral:lncRNA from 1 species
CCGACUCCUUUUUCAAUCUCAUUUUAUUCAUCAUCAUAUAAACUUUUAUGUACAAAAAUGCCACAAGACAAAUUCAUUAAUCCCCAACGCUUUAGAUGACAUAAAAACAAAAUUUCUCUAGAAAAGUCCGGCCACGCCAAUUCUCAACAAAGUCCGGCCACGUCCACGCUCAAUUUCCGACAAUUGUCAUUGCGGGUGAGUUCUAAUGUUGUGUGUGACCUAUUUUGAAGUAACCAGAAAAAUAUUCCUGUAUAGAAAUUGUUGGUCAAAAUUAUAUUCAACUUGUAGCAUACAUCUACCAAAACAUCAUUCAAUAUCCCUUGUAAAUAAUCUGUCCAUCGUACUUGCCUGUUUACUAGGCAGAAGUUCCCCAUAGCCAGUGAUGAACAACAAGAAAACACUACAAUUCUAUGUUCCAUUCAAGAAUUACAAGCAUUGGAAAUUACCUUCUCAGAGAAACUUUUUCAUGCACCUUAGUGGAAAUAAUUUAGCACGACACUUUUUUUGCUAGAGGUGUAGUAGACGCAUGUACUACAAAUAUUACCCAUUGUAUUCCACUAUUUAACAAAAUUUCCUCUAUUUUCUUUGAGCUGGAGCACAAAUAGUAAAAGGCAAAGGCAUGAAAGCACAUGUCACCUCCCUUCGUAGAAACUCCCUAUUCCAAGUAAAAAACUGCCAGUUUUAUAUUGUAAUUAUUAUGCAGCCAAUCAUACACAAAUAAGAUUUACAUAUACAUAUAUACAGAGAGAGAGAGCAAAACCGAAACCGUUAAAAGUAUAGACGACGGUUGACCGAAACCGUUGCCGGAUCCGUCGCUAAAGGGGGGUGAGCACGGGUGAGUAAGAUAAGAGGUAUGUAUUUGAUCCGGACCGUAUAUAUAUAUAUAUAUAUAUAUAACUACUAUUCAUUUCCAAAUAAAUAUAUCAAUUUCAUGAAGUUAUGAUUAAGUUCUACGUAAGGUGAGUAUCAACAAGAAAACACCAGCAGCUACUCUUACUAAAAUGUCACCAAAAACCACCUAUGCCCAAGACACUACUCGUUUCUUACAAAAAUUUGUCCCUCUUGCAAAGAAUGUCACAACUGAUGCUUUCAAUUUCCAAAAUUCAAAAUAUUAAUGGAGUUACAUAUUGCGGCCAAGAGGGGCCUAGCGCUUGGGGGGGAAUUUUUUAUUUUAAGCUAAUUUUAAUAUUUUAUCUUAUAUUUAUCCAAACAAAACAAUAAUAUAAAGCAAAACAAUUUAUAAUAAAGAUAAUAAAAACAUUUGCUUAAAGUUCAAACACAUAUCCAUAUUGUUAAUGUCAAAGUUUAAACACAAACAUACAAUUAUUCAAAAUUCAAAUAUAUUUUUAACGUAUUAGUUUUAUUCAUAAACAAGAUUGCUAUUAAAAAAUAAAAUUUAAAAUUUCAAGAAUUUAAUUCAAUAUUAAAACUUAAGAAACUAAACAUAAAUUUAAGAAUUAUAUUGAAAAACUAAAUAUUACAAAUGUAUCAUCAUUUAUAUAAUUUGAAAUUGGUACAAGUUCAAAAAAUUACAACUAUAAAUAAAAUUAUCCAUUUUAACUUGAUAUUGUUCGCUUCUUGUUGUGAUUUGAUAUGUUACAACAUGUAUUAUGAAUAUGAUAAAUCAUUUGAAAAAUAAAUAUAUUAAGAUCUGGUUUGGGUAGUUAUUAAAAUAAAAAAAACCUCUCUGCCUAGACCCCCACAUAGGCCACACCUAAUUUUCUGGAGUGAUUUUUUGCCACCUUAGGCCUAGGUGAGGCGCCAGGAGGGCCUAGCGCCUAGGCGAGGCGCCAAGGGGGGCCUAGCGCCUAGGCGGGGAUUUUUAGAACACUGGCAAUUAAACAACUUCUGAAUUGUGUUUGAUUGGCUUACAGGUGAUUUUGUAAAAGAUCAAAUUAAAAGACUUAACAGAAGAGUGAAUUUAACAAUUGGCUCACGCAACAACAAACUUAAUCAAAAAUACUGUUAUAUAUCAUCAAGUUAGAAAAUACUUCAAAUAAGGACUUAAAAUCAAUUCUCUACUAUUAAAAUGCAGCACUGUCUAGCCUGUAUUUUUAGAUGCUUCCAAUAACAAUUGAGAAGUGACACACUUACUCACCUGGGUGGAACAAAUAUAAAUACAAAUAUAAUUUUUCUUCAAUCCUUAGUGGCUCAGAACUUGAACAGUCACAACAUCCUACAUACAAUUUGAAAAGACCUAAAAAAUAUCAAGCACAUCCUCAGAAAAAAUUAUCCAUCAUAAUAAAGUCAGUUUACUUUUAACGUGGAAAAUAGUCAUCAUAGGGAUGCAAAACAAUAUACCAACAUGCAAUCUAAUCUUUCAACCAAAACUUACAAACAUUACGAAUGAGCCGUCUUAGAACCAUAUUGAUUAUUAUAAGGUUUCAAAAGAUAUAUUCAGCAGGUCAUAAGCAACUUAAAAACAAAAAAGAAAACAUUUAUUCAAGCACAAAAUUAGAAAAUUUGCACCAUGAACAUCAAGAAUCCACAUAGGCGACAAUUCCAGUUUCAACAGAGAAAAUGUAGUUUUAACUAAAAGUAUUAGUUAUAUAACAAGUACACAUCCUCAGAGCUGACUAUUCAUCAAUGGAAAUCAGUCCACUACUUUUAAAAUUAACUCAUCAUAGGAAUGUGAUACAGAAUACAACCUGCAAGGGGGGAAAAAGAAGAGACGGAAAAAAAGAGAGUAAAGAAAACCAAAACAAAAGGGAAAUUCAGAGGCUGAAAAUACAGUCCAAGAGAAGUUAUUUCAUUUAAAAAUCCAAAUCAAAACAAGCACCGGCAUAUUAUGCAUCUUAACAAAUAUUUUGCCAACAUAUCUGGUUCUUGAGCAGCAAACUACUCAUGACCAAGAAUAGUUGACAAUGGAAAAAUUAAAAUUGCAAAUUGCAAGAGGUAAAAAAAUAGCAAGUUAAAUACACAAAGUUCCCUCAGAAUUAAUUAUUCAGCAAAUUAAAUCAGUCCACUACUUUUAAAUUUAUUUUUGAUUUGAGAUCUUCACAGGGAUAUAAAGUACACAACUCUAAAAAAACAGGGAAUAACAAUUUAUGCUAAAAAUUGACCACCAAAGAAUCCACUUCAUAGAGAAAAUAAAGUUAUCUGGGAAAAAAUAGGAAUGCCCCUCAGAAUUGGUUACUCCAUCAAUAAAAAUCAGCCCACAACUUCAAAAUAUAUAUAUAUAUAUAUAUAUAUAUAUAUAUAGGGACUUAAUGAUUGACUUCACAUGCAUAUACACAUCAUACAUGGCUAUUUAUGUAUGCACAAACAGUAACACAAUAUACACGUAUAUGAUUUGAGUAUUAAGACUGGAUUACCUUAAUUCGAAGAUUAACUCAUACUUAAACCCGUGUAUAUGCAAUAUAAGCUCCCAUUGGGUAUAAAAAUCUAUAAUGAAAUAUAAAAUUUUAAACUUUUUCAGAGAAGAAAGUCCUAACCUGAGUACAAAUUUACUGUUCAGAGAAUUUCAUAUAAUAUACUUAAAAUCAACAAAACAGGAAAUUGUAACAACAACAAAAAAAAGUUUUUAAUUUCAAUUCAUUGAUGAGAUCAACAAUUUAAAGCAAACCAAUAACAGGUAGAGGCAUUCAAAGAAGUUUAAAGUUUUCAUACCUUUUAUUUAAAAAAUGGAUUGAAAAUAAAUUUGUCGAUGAACUAAUUCCUAAAUCAAUGAAACCCUAGCUCGUUACCUUCGCGUGUGUUUGUUAGAAAGGAGAAGUGUUGACUGAUGCUGUCAUGGAGGCGUAUUAUCAGCCAAUGCAAGCGAAUAAUAUUUAUACGAACGCUCGACGGUCUAGACCGAUGUGAAGGUCUGUUUGGUCACACGAACAAGUGCAAUUUAGGGUUGGGCAACGAUAU